rnacentral:rRNA from 1 species
AUUGAACGCUGGCGGCAUGCCUUACACAUGCAAGUCGAACGGCGGCACGGGUGCUUGCACCUGGUGGCGAGUGGCGAACGGGUGAGUAAUACAUCGGAACGUACCUUAUCGUGGGGGAUAACGCAGCGAAAGCUGUGCUAAUACCGCAUACGCCCUGAAGGGGAAAGCGGGGGAUCGAAAGACCUCGCGCGAUUAGAGCGGCCGAUGCCUGAUUAGCUUGUUGGUGGGGUAAAAGCCCACCAAGGCGACGAUCAGUAGCUGGUCUGAGAGGACGGGCCGCCACACUGGGACUGAGACACGGCCCAGACUCCUACGGGAGGCAGCAGUGGGGAAUUUUGGACAAUGGGGGCAACCCUGAUCCAGCAAUGCCGCGUGAGUGAAGAAGGCCUUCGGGUUGUAAAGCUCUUUUGUCAGGGAAGAAACACCGGCUCUAACACAGUCCGGGAAUGACGGUACCUGAAGAAUAAGCACCGGCUAACUACGUGCCAGCCGCCGCCGUAA